rnacentral:misc_RNA from 1 species
CAUAAUGUAUCUUGGUUGAAUAAAUACAUUACUAACAUGAGUUUGAUCCUUGCAAAACUAAUAAUACACAUAAUAUUUUUAUUCAACCAAGAUACAUUAUGUAGGAGACAUUAAGUCUCUUAUUCAGUCUAUAAGUAAAACCACCAUUGCCUAGAGCAUUACUGAGCCUGAAAGCGCUUCUUGAAAAAUUCAACAUGCUCUUUAGGAUCUAAUUUUGUCUGCUUGUAGGCCUCAAUCUUGUUUAUCUCCUCAAUCCAAGCUGCAAGUUUAGGCCUGCCAGCUGUGAUAUCAUAUUUGAAUACCUCUGAUAAGAAGACAUGGAAUCUUUCAACAAAUGGAGUAUAGGCUAUAUCCACCAAACUGAAUUGGCCAAGCAAGAAUGGCCCAUCAUCAAAUUUGUGAAGAGCAUUUUCCAAGUAAUCAAAAGCAGGACCAGCUUCUUUGGCUGGAUCGCCCUUAAAUGAAGUAUACACAAUUUUGUUGAAAGUAUCAGUGUAGGCAAAUAACUCUUCAGCAAACUCUUUUUUAGCAGGAUCAUCAGGGAGCAGAGAUGGCCCUUCAAAGUUGCUAUCAAGGUAUUUAAUCAAAUCAAGACUCUCCCCAAUGAUUUUGCCGUUGUGUUCCAAAGAUGGCACCUUAUUGACGGGGUAAACUUUCUCCCCGUACCAAGCAGGCCUACUUUGAAGGUUGAGAGGAAUUAGCUUGAUAUUGUCUUGUAAUCCCUUAUAGUUCCUGGU